rnacentral:rRNA from 1 species
GCGCACCCUUCGGGGUGAGCGGCGGACGGGUGAGUAACGCGUGGGAACGUGCCCUUCUCUGCGGAAUAGCCUCGGGAAACUGAGAGUAAUACCGCAUACGCCCUUUGGGGGAAAGAUUUAUCGGAGAAGGAUCGGCCCGCGUUGGAUUAGGUAGUUGGUGGGGUAAUGGCCCACCAAGCCGACGAUCCAUAGCUGGUUUGAGAGGAUGAUCAGCCACACUGGGACUGAGACACGGCCCAGACUCCUACGGGAGGCAGCAGUGGGGAAUCUUAGACAAUGGGGGCAACCCUGAUCUAGCCAUGCCGCGUGAGUGAUGAAGGCCUUAGGGUUGUAAAGCUCUUUCAGCUGGGAAGAUAAUGACGGUACCAGCAGAAGAAGCCCCGGCUAACUCCGUGCCAGCAGCCGCGGUAAUACGGAGGGGGCUAGCGUUGUUCGGAAUUACUGGGCGUAAAGCGCACGUAGGCGGACCAGAAAGUUGGGGGUGAAAUCCCGGGGCUCAACCUCGGAACUGCCUUCAAAACUAUUGGUCUGGAGUUCGAGAGAGGUGAGUGGAAUUCCGAGUGUAGCGGUGAAAUGCGUAG